AAAGCACGAAAAAGAUACAUUGUUAAGAUGUAUGUACAAGAAUGGAAUGUACCUAGGGAUAAUGAAAGAAGUUACAAAGGGGAACAUUGAGAUAAGAGUUUAGCCUUUUGACAGCACGUGCAAGGGGGAAAUUGCCAACUUGGAAAGAAAGGGGCAAUGGGUGUGGAGCAUAGAUAGGUAGAGGCGAAAUAGUAAGAGAGAUUGGGUAAUUAGGAGUCUGGAGAGAUGACCUCACUCAGUUCAAAGGGUAUAACUAUACACUAACCUAAGUUCUAAUUUGCUUUUAUUUGCUUAUGCAAUUGAAGCCCUUACUUGCAAGUUCGUAAUAAAUUGUCUUGUUUCCAGCUUUGGUGGUCUCCUCUAAAUUUUAUUGAAUUUUGUUUCUAACACUACUGAGGUUGUUCAUCUCAGAAAAGGUUUUCUUCAGUCCUAUCUGAACUGGUGCAUCCUCAGAGAGGGUUUUACUCAGUCCGUGCUGAGCUAGUACAUCCUCAGGGAAGGUUUUUUUCCCCAUUUCCUGUUGAGCUCGUGCAUCUUCAGAGGGUUUUAUCCAGUCCCUGCUGAGCUCGCGCAUCCUUAGAGAAGGUUCUUCCCUGACCCCAUUGGGUCCGUGCAUUCUCAGGAAGAGCUUUCUGCCAUCGCUCCAAGGCACGUGCAACCUCAGAGACGGUUGGAGAUGGGCCACGGUAGCAGCGCGAGCAAGAAGGACUCGCGCUCUCGUCUCUCCGGCCUCGGGCGUCACGUGCACGAGCACUGGGCCUGGCGCGCAUGCGCACAAGCCUCCCUCCUAAUCCGGCCGUGAUCCGGGAGGCCGAACAGUGAUGAGGUGACGGGAGUCGGCGGAGUGUCCGAGUGAAGUGGAAUUUUCCUUCACAUUUCCUUCAUGUUCCCUGGAUGCUUCAGCAAGUUUAUAAAGUGAGAAGCUGGUUUAGAUGAAGAAGAUUCGUUGCCUGUGCUUCAUCAGCUGAUCUUACCUUUGGUGGUGGCAGAGGUGAUGCAAUUGCUCAAAUUACUUCUGACAGACAGGAAUAAAAACCACUUGAAAGAGGUACAGGAACGUGAUUGGAAUUCUUGGAAUCAUUUCCCAGCAAAACGUAAAUUACAGAGAAUUUGUAUAAAGUCUACAGCACAAAAUUAAGCCAUUUGGACCACUAGUCUACACUGGUGUUUACAUUCCAAAUGAGUGGACUACAAUGUCUGCAUGCCUAUUUGAAGGUGCUGACUGACCACAACAAAAUCAUGGGUGAAACAGAAUAACAAAGAAUCUCAGUCGCUCCAUGUUCUGUUUGAAUUUUUCCUGAAGACCAGAUGACGGAUGUUCCAGUACUCAACACUCCAAACAAUACACCAUGAAAAGAUUGCAGGACUUAAUUUUGAGAAAAACUUUCAGACACACCACCAAUCAAGCACAAGUAUAAAAGAAAACCUACUUUCAACACAUCAGCAAACUAAAGUGUCAUGCCCAAUCAAACAGCCAGCAGCCCCCCUGACAGUAACCACGGUGCAUCAAUCUUAGGAUUCAUGCUGAUUCCUGUUACAGUCAUAGCAGUCAUUGGCAUUGCAGUUAUAGUGAUAAAGUAUGUUCGAAAGAGACGCAGGUUAGAAAAACUACGCAACAAACUAGUGCCAAUUUACUCAUAUGACCCCAGUGAGGAUCGUAAUGAUGUGGAAGAAGAAUCUUUAGAUCACAGUGGAGAAGUGAAAGAUAGUCAAGAACCUUCAGAUGAGAAAGCAAACAGACUGGAUGAUAGCCAUGUCUCCACCUCCAAUACUGACAAUGUGAUUUGAACCAAAUAUUGGUAACCAAAAUGCAGGUUGGUAGUUGAGGAUAUGGAUGAAUUCUUCUGCUUCUGAGAGUCCAAAUGUCCCAUAUGUCAACACAAACAGAAGGUGCACUACAUGAAAAACAAUGUUUGAACAUUUGAGGGUUUGAAUUUUACUGAUGCUGUCGUCACAUAACAGAUCACCUGUUAGAAUCAUCUACAUACUCCUGGUGUAGAACUAAACAGCCAUAAGAAUAACUAUUUUUACAAUGGUUUUUGAAUUAAAAUUGCCAGAUUGUGGCACUAUAUUUGUUGCAAAGCUGGAUCUUUCAACAAUAUAUUUGUGUAUUGAAAUUAUAUACAAGUAAACCAAAGGAAUGGAGGUUAAUUAUGUGAGAUUUUACUUGUUUUCUUGUGUAUAUUUGUGUUUGAAAAUGUGUGUAUUUUUUUUUACUUCAGACAAAGUUUGUGGCAAUAUUUGGAUCAAGUGGAGUGUUUAGAGAUCUAUCCUGAAGCCAUGUGGGUACAAUUCAUUGAAUGAAUGUUCCCAUUGAUAUGUUUAUAUCUGAAACUGUCAAAACUGGUGAAAUCUAGUGCUCAGACUAAGAAUUUAUUUGUAAAUAUGAUUCUAAACCUACACAUCUCAGAGUUUCAAAGAUGACAAAAUAAUGAGCAGGAGUGCAAAUAGGAAGUGAAAAGUUUUGUGAGGUAGAUUAUUAAUCUUCUGGGUCACAACUGACAUAGUUUAGAUAUGCCAUUUAUCACUGAUAUCUAAUUUUACUUCCAUAAGCCCCUUGCUUGCUCAAAUAAGAUGUGUGCAUUUCAAAUCCCUAUAAAACAUGUCUGUUAUGUCAUUCAGUGCAGUUUAUCUAAUGAGAUGCACAAUUCCCCUAAAUUCAUGCCAGCCCACUUUUGAAUCGGUAAAUUUUUUAUCGUUUAUUCACAAUCUAACUAAACACACCUUUGUGCAGAAAAGA